UACGUGGGGUGCGAGCGUUGUCCGGAAUUAUUGGGCGUAAAGGGCUCGUAGGCGGUUUGUCGCGUCUGCUGUGAAAUCCCGAGGCUCAACCUCGGGCCUGCAGUGGGUACGGGCAGACUGGAGUGCGGUAGGGGAGAAUGGAAUUCCUGGUGUAGCGGUGGAAUGCGCAGAUAUCAGGAGGAACACCGAUGGCGAAGGCAGUUCUCUGGGCCGUAACUGACGCUGAGGAGCGAAAGCGUGGGGAGCGAACAGG
rnacentral:rRNA from 1 species